UACGUAGGGGGCAAGCGUUGUCCGGAUUUAUUGGGCGUAAAGAGCGUGUAGGCGGCCAAGCAGGUCCGCUGUGAAAACUCGAGGCUCAACCUCGAGACGUCGGUGGAAACCGUUUGGCUAGAGUCCGGAAGAGGAGAGUGGAAUUCCCGGUGUAGCGGUGGAAUGCGUAGAGAUCCGGAAGAACACCAGUGGCGAAGGCGGUCUGCUGGGCCGUGGGAUCGCAAGGUCCCGGAGCUGACACUGAGGCGCGACAGCGUGGGGAGCAAACAGG
rnacentral:rRNA from 1 species